UUCUGCCUUCCUGGAAGAGGAGAUGAAGAUUGGCCUGCAGAGUGAUCAGUGAGCAAACGACCAGCUGUAUUAUGUACGGAAACCAUGUGUGUCAGGGCCAGCUUGGAAAUAUUAGGAUGACUCUGGCUUUGUCUUCUUUUAUUUUCAGUAGAACUUUGGCUAUUAGAGGAGUCAGUGGGAACGCAUUGAGGUGAUCAGACAACUAAUGAAGGUGAAAGGCAACCCCCGGGGAUCGGCGAACCAGCCUGCCUCUGGAGCAAAACUGGGCACACUUCUUGUUUAUCACUGUGGCAAACAAGUCUAUCUGGGGGAUGCUGAAAUUAUUUCCCUCUUGUAAUCUUGGAAGAAGUGCCUGCUAAAUGUACUUGCGAUCACAUUCUGAACCCCUGGAAGACAACGACCUGAUUGUGUAUCCACAGGUUACAAAGCUUGACAGCCUCUGCACAGAGGGAGGAAGAUCUUGAUCCUCCCUGCCAGUUAAUAUAAAACAAAGGUUUGGGGGCUAUGCUGGAUUGUCUUGCUAUGUCAGAAAAGGCCACAAAUCUGUGCAGGGCUUUGGCUCUUGCUUUUACUAAAUGGAGAUGAGCUCCCACGAAUUUCAAGUUUUCUACAUGGCUCAGAGUGAAUUUUUGAAUGUUCAAUUGUAGGCCCAAUUUGAGGAAGAGAUCUAUGGCUUCAAAAGUUACCCAUAAAGUGACCCUUCAGCAGCCAAUCAUCCAGGUGAAAUAGAUGAGGUGUGUCCAGAAGGGCCACAUUGACAGGUUUCUUCUUGAGGAUCAGGUCUCCUAGUGAGGGCAGCAGAUGAAGGCUGCGUACCUCUGAGCAACGAAGAAUUGGGCACCUCAGCCUGGUCUCAGGGAAAACCAAACUCCUGAGGUAACAAGCAUGCUGUUGGCACCGAGUCUGUGGUUUGCACAGAGCUAUUGUGAAUCUUGUCUGAUUCAAGGGAAAUGCAGUAGGAACCCAAGCAGGCUUCUUUGAUAACUAGGAAGCAGAGGAAGAGCUAUUCUUACCUCCUUGGUCUGCCGAUGGUCCCAACGAUCCCUCCACACCUGAAGCUUUGCCAUCUUUCAGCUAACAAUGCUCUUGCUACCUUAGGAACCAGCAGCUUCAAAGCUACCAGACUGGAAUGCAGAACAUGCAGAUCUGGCUGAAGACUCCAAUAACCUCAGCUUUUUUAGAUAGAUUCCCUACCUGGUGAACUCAGGGCAUGAUCUUUGGAAAACUUAUGAGACGUCUUCCUCUUAGAUGCCCUCGAGGAGCAUGGUUUAGAAAUAGUGGAGGCAGCAGACUUGCUUCAAGACUGGAGUACAGGAGGAGUCCCGUGGCCUGGGUCAGAAGAUGGAUGCAGCGAGCUCACUGUAAUGAGGAGAUGAAGUUUCAUCUCCCUUCUUUUUUCUGGCUCUAGAUUUCCAUGUCAGACAGAAGAUACACUUCUGGGAGUGUGCAAUUCCCCGAGACAAACAAUGCACUGGGAGUACCCAUCACUUACCAGGAUUGCCUCCUGGCAUGACAGACAUUUCAAACUAAGAGAACCAGGUGUAACCUCCCAGUGAACAAGACUUACCUUAUCUAUAUAAUAUGAGAAUUUUUUUUAAACUAGGAAGCUAAAGCUACUACUGCUUACUAACUACCGGUAAUUACACUAAUACUAAGACCAACUAUAAAUGAAGCACUAGAAUAAAAACUGGGACACAGCUGAAGUAAUCUCAACAGGGACAACUGCUGGAGCUCCAUCGCAGGCUGAGGCAGUUGAGAAGCAACUGAGGGCGGUUUGCCUGUAGCAACUCACAGGACAUGACAAACUAGCAUGCAUGCACAGGCUGAAUGCACAUUGCUAUGAAAAGUCUCCAAUCAACAGCACAGGGGAUGUAAGUGCACACAUAGGACACUAUUCAAAGAAGAAUAACCCAUUACUUAUAGAACAAAAGACUUAACUGUAUGAUGUAUACAAUUAUUU